rnacentral:misc_RNA from 1 species
UCACGGCUUAUCACCGGCAGUCCCCUUAGAGUGCCCAACUAAAUGAUGGCAACUAAGGGCGAGGGUUGCGCUCGUUGCGGGACUUAACCCAACAUCUCACGACACGAGCUGACGACAGCCAUGCACCACCUGUGAUGCGGCUCCGAAGAGGGACCGUGUUUCCACGGUUUUCCACAACAUGUCAAGCCCAGGUAAGGUUCUUCGCGUUGCUUCGAAUUGAACCACACGCUCCGCUGCUUGUGCGGGCCCCCGCCUAUUCCUUUGAGUUUUAACCUUGCGGCCGUAGUCCCCAGGCGGGAUGCUUAAUGCGUUAGCUACGGCACGGAAGGAGUCGACACCUCCCACACCUAGCACCCAUCGUUUACGGCGUGGACUAC